UAACCCACCUCUUUAUAAACCUCAAUACUCAUCAUCAGGAAUCAUCAUCCUUCACUUCCUGUUGCAAAGAACUAAAAUUACUCCUACUUCAUAGAGUUAUUAUCACCAUCUUAUGGAAUCACGAUUUCUACUCCAAAACACACCAAAAUUCAUAAUUCAACUCCAAUUGCUUUAAUUAUCAAAAGCCCUAAGUUAUUAGAAGCAAAUUGAUUAAGUAUCAUCAAGUCCAAUCAUCACUAAGGUUAUAUCAAUUCAAGUGUAAAAUUUGGGUUAAUUGAAGAAACAAGAACUAGGAUUCAUCUAUCAAGAUCAAAUUGAGGAUUUUGUGACUCAAAUUAAAGUUCAAGAUUGAAAGUUGGAAGGUUCUUCAAUUAAUGGUGAUUAAAGAUUGUGUUGAAGUUAGCUAGUUCACCCACGUCUUUUGAAGCUUACAUGUGUGUUCUUCAAUGGUGAUUGAGAUAGGUCCAUUUUCAGGUUAGCUCAGCUGUUGAGACGAUGCCUACAUGUAUUAUGUGUUACGUGCGAGGCGAGGACUUCUUUUUGAAAUACAUUUUGUAAAUUAGAUAUUUGAAAAUUAAAUUGUAAUAAUUUCAUAAUGUUUUUGUAAAUAGUAUUUACUUAAUUAUGUAAAAAGUUUUAAACACUCUGAUAUUGGUUUGCUGUGGCUAUCGAGCCACAAGUCGAAUUUAGCCCAGUCUUCUAUAA